UACGUAGGGGGCAAGCGUUGUCCGGAAUUAUUGGGCGUAAAGAGCUCGUAGGCGGUUCGUCGCGUCGGCUGUGAAAUCCCGGGGCUUAACCCCGGGUCUGCAUUCGAUACGGGCAGACUGGAGUGUGGUAGGGGAGAUCGGAAUUCCUGGUGUAGCGGUGAAAUGCGCAGAUAUCAGGAGGAACACCGGUGGCGAAGGCGGAUCUCUGGGCCAUUACUGACGCUGAGGAGCGAAAGCGUGGGGAGCGAACAGG
rnacentral:rRNA from 1 species